GAUGAACGCUGGCGGCGUGCUUAACACAUGCAAGUCGAACGAAGCACUUUUAUUUGAUUUCUUCGGAAUGAAGAUUUUAGUGACUGAGUGGCGGACGGGUGAGUAACGCGUGGGUAACCUGCCUCAUACAGGGGGAUAACAGUUAGAAAUGACUGCUAAUACCGCAUAAGACCACAGCACCGCAUGGUGCAGAGGUAAAAACUCCGGUGGUAUGAGAUGGAGCCGCGUCUGAUUAGGAAGUUGGUGGGGUAACGGCCUACCAAGCCGACGAUCAGUAGGCGACCUGAGAGGGUGACCGGCCACAUUGGGACUGAGACACGGCCCAAACUCCUACGGGAGGCAGCAGUGGGGAAUAUUGCACAAUGGGGGAAACCCUGAUGCAGCGACGCCGCGUGAGCGAUGAAGUAUUUCGGUAUGUAAAGCUCUAUCAGCAGGGAAGAAAAUGACGGUACCUGACUAAGAAGCACCGGCUAAAUACGUGCCAGCCGCCGUGGUAA
rnacentral:rRNA from 1 species